CGGGUUUUUUUGGAAAGUGUGUGCAUAUUACUGUUACUUCUAGUAACAUAUAGAAGUACAUAGAAUACUAGAAGUAAUACUUCAGUAUUGCUCUAAAGGGUGCAGUGCUUUGCUAUACAAAGAGAAGUCCUUGUGCUAGGAAUUUUACAAGUGGUUGAGCUCUCUUCACGCUGACAGGUCAGAUCUAUAAAGCAAUUAGUCAUGCAUGUAUAGUUUUGAAUGUUUGAUUUCCCUUACUGAGUUUUCAGCAGACCAGGUGUAUCUACACCUCAUCAGAUCCAACCCUGAGUACUUGAUGACACGGGUACUUGUGAGAGGUGAGAUCAGGAAGCCACAGUUUUGGGUGGGAAAUGGGACAUCAUUUAUGUAGUUCCAAGAAAUGAUUGGAACCUGGAAUUGUUCACCCUUGAGAAAUUGUGAUAUUUCAGUAUUAGUAUUUCCAGACAACUAAGGAAAGCAAGACAGCACCUGUCAAAAUGAUUUAUGAAACAGGAAUUUUUCAAAAGCUUUUUGACACUUCACUUGAAAAGUUUGGCUUAAAACAAUUUUCUAAAUUGUACAUAUUAUUGGAGAUUAUUUUAACAUUGAAUGUUAUCUGCUUGAAUUAGUAUGCUGUCCUAAGAGACUUAGAAUUUAUGUGUCUUAUCUUUUCAGAGUCCUCCUUGACAAGAUCCUUGGAUAGAAAACAUUUUCAUAAUAUGCUGCAGUCAUGUUUUUUUUUCCAUCUGAUAUUCAGGAGGAUCGCACUUGGCCUCCUUUUGGAACUCCAGGGUGUCAGAAGCUGAGUGAACACACCAUGAGGCUGGGAGACAUGAAAGCACCACAGUCAAGAGUCAUCUGGUUCUUCACUGGCUGUGCACUCAGCCAAAGGCAGCAAACAGAGGAGGGAGGGCUGAAGCUGCCAUUUGACUGCACGGGAAAGCACCAUAUGAAGAAAGGUGUGCAGCCAUCCUCGGUUCAAAUAAAUUAGCCAGAAACUGUGCUCUGCUGCACCUCACACAGGGUGACCAUGUGGUGACUCACAAAGUCCAUUGUGUAGGUCCACAGGAGGUGGAAAACAUCCCACACACCAUACAUUCAUCUUACACAAUGAAACAGCAUCACAGUAAUUAACCUUUUAACUAAUCACCCAAACUGGCCUGCCUUCAAUGGGACUUAUUUUCCUCCUGCCACACAGCUGUUGGCCUUCACAGAAUGAGUUUAGUUUGUGUGAAAGAGGGGUUUAAUCCAUGCAGGUUCCAACUCCCCUGACCUGUGUCUUUCCUGACCAGCAAGCUGCAGGCUGUGAAGGGGGCUAAUAGCUGGCACUGCUUAUUUGAAGCUAGGGCUUAUGUCUAACACUUUGACUGCAACACUGGUUGAAGGGCUGACAUCCACUGGUGAGUGCUUAUGGCUUGAUGAGGAUUGGCAUGUUGGCUGGACUUUGAUAAUUCAUCUUUUUAUCUCACAACUGUGAGACAAAGUGAGAAAAAUAUAUAUAUAUUUUUAAUUGAAAUUUAAGUGCUUCAUCUCAUGCUUGCCACAGAGACUUCCAGGUACAACAAAACUGCUCAAGACAAGUUGUGCUUGUUUGACUGUCCCACCUUUAGUUUCCUUUGGAUAGUAAGCACAAAAUCCCAUACUACUUACUAAUGGCUACCUUAAAUUGCUCACCAUUUUAAGUUCUCAGCUUCAAGAUGAAGGCUCCUUGGACAGUGCUGAAGAACUAAUUUAGUCUCCUUCACAAUUUGAGAAAUUGAUUACUGUCACAAUAAAUGAAAUCCUACUUUCUGGUAGCUAAGGACU
rnacentral:lncRNA from 1 species